rnacentral:tRNA from 1 species
GCCCUUGUAGUUCAACGGAUAGAACGACUCACUCCUAACGAGUAAACGUAGGUUCGACUCCUACCGAGGGCA